rnacentral:tRNA from 1 species
GUCUCUGUGGUGUAAUGGGUCAGUGCAUUUGGCUAUUAACCAAAAGGUUGGUGGUUCAAGCCCACCCAGUGAUG